UACGUAGGGUGCAAGCGUUGUCCGGAAUUAUUGGGCGUAAAGAGCUCGUAGGCGGUUUGUCACGUCGGAUGUGAAAACUCGGGGCUCAACCCCGAGCCUGCUUCCGAUACGGGCGGACUAGAGGUAGGUAGGGGAGAACGGAAUUCCUGGUGUAGCGGUGGAAUGCGCAGAUAUCAGGAGGAACACCGGUGGCGAAGGCGGUUCUCUGGGCCUUACCUGACGCUGAGGAGCGAAAGCGUGGGGAGCGAACAGG
rnacentral:rRNA from 1 species